rnacentral:rRNA from 1 species
GGACGAACGCUGGCGGCGUGCUCCAUACAUGCAAGUCGAACGAGAAGCUAGCUUCGGUUAGUGGAAAGUGGCGGACGGGUGAGUAAAAUGUAGAGAAUCUGCCCUAGAGAGGGGGACAACAGUUGGAAACGACUGCUAAUACCCCAUAUGAGCGUAGCUGAGAUGCUAUUCUUGAAAACUCCGGUGCUCUGGGAUGAGUCUGCAUCUGAUUAGCUAGUUGGCGGUGUAAUGGACCACCAAGGCGACGAUCAGUAGCUGGUUUGAGAGGAUGAUCAGCCACAAUGGGACUGAGACACGGCCCAUACUCCUACGGGAGGCAGCAGUAGGGAAUUUUGCGCAAUGGGGGAAACCCUGACGCCAGCAACGCCGCGUGAUUGAAUAAGCCCUUCGGGGUGUAAAGAUCUGUCAGUAGGGACGAAACUUGACGGUACCUACAGAGGAAGCAUCGGCUAACUCCGUGCCAGCCGCAGC